UAAGGUGAUCUCAUGCACAUAUGUGGAAGUCAUUUUCUGCAUAGUCUUCUCUUCUCUGGUACUUCCUACUGCAAAUUCCAUUCAUCUCAACCAGGACAGACUCUAAUCUCUGUUUCCUCAACUCAGUGAGACCAUGAUCUCAAGUUUCUCCUGCAUGAACUGCUGCUCAGCAAAUGCUUCCAGGCAGAAAGCCAAGAUGAUGGUCCAACUCAAAUCCAUUUCUCCAGGGAGUCUUACUGAAUUAUUUCAUUCCUGUUUAAAUUAUGAUAAAGCUAAACAACUUCCAGAAAAGAACCAUAAAACACAAAGCCUUGAAAUAUAUGCAAAUUUCUUUAUCUACUGACAGUUUUUAAGAAUUCAACCUCAAGUUCAAUGUAGCGGACCAGUCAGCUAUAUUAAUCAGAUGAGUAAGAGGAGAUGCUCAAAAUGAG